rnacentral:tRNA from 1 species
AGGAAUAUAGCCAAGCGGUAAGGCAAAGGACUUUGACUCCUUCACGCGCUGGUUCGAAUCCAGCUAUUCCUGCCA